rnacentral:lncRNA from 1 species
UUCGGGCCAGUCGUAUUCCUGCCAAGAUGGCCUCAUACUCUGCUUCGUUGUUUGUGGCCUUGAACCCAAACCGGAUAGCUUGCUGCACCUUGAACCCUUCGGGACUUGUUAGGAUGACCCCUGCUCCACUGACAUCCACAGUUGCUGAUCCGUCCACGUAUAGAGUCCACGCGGUCUGGAUUGGUUGUGUUUCGGCUACUAUAUUCGCCUCCGGUUCGGUGAAAGAACACUCAACCACGAAGUCAGCCAAUGUCUGCCCUUUGAU